rnacentral:sRNA from 1 species
UUAAUUAUGAGCUGAGCGGGAGAAGGAGCCAGGCGGCGGGGGACAGUGAGCAUGCAAAAGGAAAGAACAAGAACAUGGGAAGGAUAGAGGCAACACACCCAAAAAGCCCAGGUUGGUCUUCACAGAUGUCCAGCGUCGAACUCUACAUGCAAUAUUCAAGGAAAAUAAGCGUCCAUCCAAAGAAUUGCAAAUCACCAUUUCCCAGCAGCUGGGGUUGGAGCUGAGCACUGUCAGCAACUUCUUCAUGAACGCAAGAAGGAGGAGUCUGGACAAGUGGCAGGACGAGGGCAGCUCCAAUUCAGGCAACUCAUCUUCUUCAUCAAGCACUUGUACCAAAGCAUGAAGGAAGAACCACAAACUAAAACCUCGGUGGAAAAGCUUUAAAUUAAGAAAAAUUUUUAAAAGACCAGGACCUCAAGAUAGCAGGUUUAUACUUAGAAAUAUUUGAAGAAAAAAAAAGUGUUAUUUAUAGUCCAAAGAAACCAAAGACUUAGCUCACCUGCAUUCUGACUUUGCUUGGAGACACACACUUCAGCAGGGCGGCGACUUGGCAAGACAAAUGAUGAGCAGGAAAACACCACUGG